GUCGAGCGGACAGAAGGGAGCUUGCUCCCGGAUGUUAGCGGCGGACGGGUGAGUAACACGUGGGUAACCUGCCUGUAAGACUGGGAUAACUCCGGGAAACCGGAGCUAAUACCGGAUAGUUCCUUGAACCGCAUGGUUCAAGGAUGAAAGACGGUUUCGGCUGUCACUUACAGAUGGACCCGCGGCGCAUUAGCUAGUUGGUGGGGUAAUGGCUCACCAAGGCGACGAUGCGUAGCCGACCUGAGAGGGUGAUCGGCCACACUGGGACUGAGACACGGCCCAGACUCCUACGGGAGGCAGCAGUAGGGAAUCUUCCGCAAUGGACGAAAGUCUGACGGAGCAACGCCGCGUGAGUGAUGAAGGUUUUCGGAUCGUAAAGCUCUGUUGUUAGGGAAGAACAAGUGCGAGAGUAACUGCUCGCACCUUGACGGUACCUAACCAGAAAGCCACGGCUAACUACGUGCCAGCAGCCGCGGUAAUACGUAGGUGGCAAGCGUUGUCCGGAAUUAUUGGGCGUAAAGGGCUCGCAGGCGGUUUCUUAAGUCUGAUGUGAAAGCCCCCGGCUCAACCGGGGAGGGUCAUUGGAAACUGGGAAACUUGAGUGCAGAAGAGGAGAGUGGAAUUCCACGUGUAGCGGUGAAAUGCGUAGAGAUGUGGAGGAACACCAGUGGCGAAGGCGACUCUCUGGUCUGUAACUGACGCUGAGGAGCGAAAGCGUGGGGAGCGAACAGGAUUAGAUACCCUGGUAGUCCACGCCGUAAACGAUGAGUGCUAAGUGUUAGGGGGUUUCCGCCCCUUAGUGCUGCAGCUAACGCAUUAAGCACUCCGCCUGGGGAGUACGGUCGCAAGACUGAAACUCAAGGGAAUUGACGGGGGCCCGCACAAGCGGGUGGAGCAUGUGGUUUAAUUCGAAGC
rnacentral:rRNA from 1 species